rnacentral:snoRNA from 1 species
CGGAGGACUGAGAAGGUUGAGCAGCUUGUGCUGUGCUGUUACAACUGGUUAUAACCUCCAAGAGUAACGCACAAACCACUCGAUUGAGCAUCUUUGUCAUGAGCUGAUUUGUAGUGUUUUUGUGAACAAAGA